rnacentral:lncRNA from 1 species
UUAAAGAUGGAACCUUGGAAGUCUGUUACAACGAAGACAGACUCAAAUUCUGGGGAAUCACAGUCUCCAAGCUCUUCUAUUGUAUUCGUCUUUAUGUAGGGAACUUUAAUUUCCAUAUGAACAAUACUUUUUAUUAGUUUUUCUUCAGAUUUACCAGGGCUAGUUUCCUUUAUCUUAAUAACUGGCACUUCCAUUAUCCUAAUGGUCUCCAAGGCUUUCAGAAGCUCCUCACGCUUCCCUGCUUCCUGAACCAAAACCACUCUCGUUUCUAUUUGAGGCAUUUCUUCUUCAACAUCCACAACAGAUCCAGGAAACACAUUCUCUUUGGAGUUUUCUACAACUUUUGAAUCAAGAACAGAAGAAUCAGCCAAGAGGCUCCUCCCGCUUUCAGACACCAGCGUACUGCUGUCAGCCAUGGUUACUUCUUUCCUUCUUCAACAGCGCCACCUGCCACCAACCGCAACAACCACCACCAUCACCAGCCG